AUGUCACACUCGCUCCGCCGCCAGCCGCUGCCGAGGCUCAGACCCCGAACGCUGUCGCGGCGGCCAGAGACAUCCGUCGGAAGUGCACGACAGCGCAGCUAUGUCAAGACAUGCCCGGGGCGGCGAAAAGCACAAUCGAGCCGCAGCCGGGGCCGGCAGCCCGUCGGGCGGCACAAGGACGAGCCGCUGGCUGCCGAGACAAAGGCUUCGCACCGCGCUUCCCUCCCCGGCUGCCGAGCGCGGCUCCCGCCUCCCGGCACCGCAGCGCGGCCGCGGGGCUGCCGCUCGGCGGGGGGCGGGGGGGCAGCGCGCUCCGGCUGCCGCGGGCUCCCGGCGCAGCUCUGGCCGCGGGCGCGGAGCGGCUGCAGCGGCGGCCCCGGCGGGGGCGCGGCUGACAUCAGCGGGGCGGGGGGGGGCGGCCGCCGCUCGGGCGGGUUUAAACAACGGCGUGGGCGGCCCGCCGACCCCCGGGGAAGGGGCCGCCGGCCGGGAGACAUCGCCAUUGCAGCGGAUUCCGCCGCGGAGGCUUCUCGAUGUGGGGGGAAGUUUAUUGCCCUACGUGUGACUACGCACCUUGCAACACGUUUACGAGGCGGCGUAAGGUUGCCCGGCCCAGGUCCCCCCGCCGCCGCGAGCAGGGCAGCCGGCUGGGUGCAGGCAGCGCAGGAUGUGGAGGCCUCACCCAUUUCCCUUCUGGUCAGCCCUUCGUUAUCUGCCAGCAGAUUUUGCAACGCAGAUAAAACUCUUUUUUCGUGUCGGCUAUUUACUUUCAAAUGCCACGCAGAAAGUUCAGUGGAAAAGGGCCCUCCUUCCUCGCUGAACAAUAAAGCCAGAACCGUUUCAGGAGGGAUCCUCCCCUUAGCUGGCAAUUUGUUUGUUAAAUCGGUUUUUAAUAUGCCUGGGGUUUGUGUUUUUCAGAGAAAUUACCCCGUUAAGUCACAACUUGAUGUGCACAGGAACCCAGUUUUGAAACUAGCCGAGAACCCUGAACUGUUACACAACCCUAGGUAA
rnacentral:lncRNA from 1 species